CUUUAUUAGUCUGGUGCAAAAGAAACUGUGGUUUUUGCCAUUACUUUUACAGGCAAAAACCACAAUUACUUUUGCACCAACCUAAUAUAACUUGUUU
ensembl:miRNA MIR548AA1 microRNA 548aa-1